AACGCGAAGAACCUUACCAAGUCUUGACAUCCUUCUGACCGGUCUUUAAUCGGACCUUUCCUUCGGGACAGAAGAGACAGGUGGUGCAUGGUUGUCGUCAGCUCGUGUCGUGAGAUGUUGGGUUAAGUCCCGCAACGAGCGCAACCCUUAUUGCUAGUAGCCAGCAGGUUAUGCUGGGCACUCUAGUGAGACUGCCGGAGACAAUCCGGAGGAAGGUGGGGAUGACGUCAAAUCAUCAUGCCCCUUAUGACUUGGGCUACACACGUGCUACAAUGGUGGGAACAAAGUGAAGCGACCCUGCGAAGGCAAGCAAACCACAGAAAACCCAUCUCAGUUCGGAUUGUAGUCUGCAACUCGACUACAUGAAGCUGGAAUCGCUAGUAAUCGCAAAUCAGAAUGUUGCGGUGAAUACGUUCCCGGGUCUUGUACACACCG
rnacentral:rRNA from 1 species